rnacentral:rRNA from 1 species
UACGAAGGGGGCUAGCGUUGUUCGGAAUUACUGGGCGUAAAGCGCGCGCAGGCGGUUUUUCAAGUCAGUGGUGAAAGCCCGGAGCUCAACUCCGGAACUGCCAUUGAAACUGUAAAACUUGAGGACGAGAGAGGUGAGUGGAACUCCCAGUGUAGAGGUGAAAUUCGUAGAUAUUGGGAAGAACACCGGUGGCGAAGGCGGCUCACUGGCUCGUAUCUGACGCUCAGGCGCGACAGCGUGGGGAUCAAACAGG